CCUGUUGUUUGCGGGAGGCCGCGCGCGGAGAUCCGCCUCCCGCGCGUUCGCUCCCCUUCCCCGCGAGGGGCGAGGCCCGCGUAACCCCUUCCUCCCCAGAGGCCCGCCAGCCCCGUCGCUUCCCCUUCCGCUGCUGCCUUUCUCUUGCUCCGUCACCUGCCAGCUCCUUUUAACUCUUCCUCCCCUGAAUUGUCCAGGUGGCUUCCAACUAACCCCUUUCCUCCCAGAGUUACUCGACUGAACAUAAAGCCUUGGACGUGUAACGCGACCACCUGGGAAAGCAACCUUCUUGGUACCUGGCUUCCCUAGGGACAGGUGAGGGGAGGCGAUGUGUGUGGGGACGGAGAGCCCGCCCUGUCCCUGCGGUCCCGUCUCGCCGGGAGGACACAUCGUGCGCCGUCUUGCGGUCAAACGUGGCUUCCACAGCAGCAGAGGCAGAAAGAGAGAUCUGGGAGGGUUUCCCACCAGCAAGUCAAUGUUUCAGCCCAGAAGUGAGUGCCACUUUCCUCCUGCUUGCAAGUCAUUGGCUGGGAUUAGUCACAGGCCUCUAGGACGUGCAAUCCCACCAUGUGCCCAGGUUGGGGAGAAUCACCUUGAUGGGUCCUUUUAGUAAUGCAAGAGCCAAGACCCUCUUCUGGAACAGUUUGGAGGUACCACAUCUCCAAGGAGCUCAGGGAACUUGGAAUUGUAGAGGGUCCUUUUAAAGUGGGCAUUGUUGCCUCUCUGCCAAGUAUGUUUCUUUCAUAAAAGUUUAGCUGCACUAGUCC